UAUGACCUGUAGAGUUGUCACUUAAAACAGCCUUAGUGUUUAAGUGUGCGAUUCAGAGGCUAUUGUAGAGACUAGUGUCAGUAUGGCAGAAAUGUCCAGACUUAAUUUGCCAGUACAACAGAUGAACUGCAGAGUAGUCACUUAAAACAGCUAUGACCUGUAGAGUUGUCACUUAAAACAGCCUUAGUGUUUAAGUGUGCGAUUUAGAGGCCAUUGUAGAGACUAGUGUCAGUAUGGCAGACUUAAUUUGCCAGUACAUAAUAGAUGAACUGUAGAGUAGUCACUUAAAACAGCCUUAAUAGUUUCCCUGCAUGUUUUAAGAGCAGUGUACAGUUCAGUGGCCAUAGUAGAGAAACCUUGUGACAUUGUUUUCAUUUCAGGAUGAACCAACCAAACCAGAACCAAGCAAACCCUAACCCAGAGUUAAAUCCGAACGAAUGAAGCAGCGCCAACAGGCCAUUGAAGAACUCCACAACUCCAUGUUUGGAUGACUAAAUCAGCUUUUACUGGAACAGUGAAAAGAAAUGCGUCCUAUGUACA